AACGCUGGCGGCGUGCAUGAGACAUGCAAGUCGAACGGGUGACUCGGGCUUGCUCGAGUCGCUAGUGGCGAACGGCUGAGUAACGCGUAGGCGACCUGCCCCGAAGUGGGGAAUAACUGCCCGAAAGGGUGGCUAAUACCGCAUGUGGUCGUGCGUUCGAUCGCACGAUCAAAGCCGCAAGGCGCUUCGGGAGGGGCCUGCGUCCGAUUAGCUCGUUGGUGGGGUAAUGGCCUACCAAGGCGACGAUCGGUAGGUGGUCUGAGAGGACGAUCACCCAGACUGGGACUGAGACACGGCCCAGACUCCUACGGGAGGCAGCAGUCGGGAAUUUUGCUCAAUGGGCGAAAGCCUGAAGCAGCAACGCCGCGUGAGGGAUGGAGGCCUUCGGGUCGUAAACCUCUUUUCUCAGGGACGAUGAUGACGGUACCUGAGGAAUAAGCCACGGCAAACUACGUGCCAGCAGCCGCGGUAAUACGUAGGUGGCAAGCGUUGUCCGGAUUUACUGGGCGUAAAGAGCGCGCAGGCGGCCGGCCAAGUCGGAUGUGAAAGUCCCUGGCUCAACUGGGGAAAGUCAUUCGAUACUGAUCGGCUCGAAGGCAGGAGAGGGAAGCGGAAUUCCCGGUGUAGUGGUGAAAUGCGUAGAUAUCGGGAGGAACACCAGUGGCGAAGGCGGCUUCCUGGCCUGUUCUUGACGCUGAGGCGCGAAAGCUAGGGAGCGAACG
rnacentral:rRNA from 1 species